CCUGAUGUUGCCAGCUCCUUCAAUGAAUGCAGCAGUGUGACAGCCAGCAAUCAAAAGUAACAAGAUGUCGAGGAAAUGCAGAAGGCAAAAAACUGCGUAGGAGAUCAUUAAUACAAUAGUAUUAUAUAAACCAAGCCUGAUGUUGGCCGCUCAUUCAAAGAAUGCAGCAGUGUGACAGCCAGCAAUCAAAAGUAACAAGAUGUCGAGGAAAUGCAGAGUGCAAUAAACUUUGUAGGAGAUUAUGAUUGCAAUAGAAUAAAAUCGACCAAGCCUGAAGUUCUUCAAUGCACGCAGCAGUGUGACAGCCAGCAAUCAAAAGUUACAAGAUAUCGAGGAAAUGCAGAAGGCAAAAAACUGCGUAGGAGAUUAUUAAUACAAUAGUAUUAUAUCAACCAAGCCUGAUGUCGGUAGCUUCUUCAAUGAAUGCAGCAGUGUGACAGCCAGCAAUCAAUAGUGAUAGUGACAAGAAUCUAGGAAAUACAGAAGGCAAAGAAGCAGAUGUCAUCAAAGAAGAUCUUUGUUCCUGCAAUGUUUCCGCAGACGAUACAUCCAACAGAGCGAAGUGGAAGGAAAAGACUCGGAAAAAAGAGCCCACCACCAUAUGGGAACAAUGCAAGGGAGAGAGAGAGAAUAUAAUUUUAUAUUUUUAUUUUUUGAUAACAUAAAAUAAACCAACAAUAU